UCCCUCAUGUUUCUGAUUUGGUCUACGAGAACCCCAAGAGCCCACCCCCUGCUGCAGCCAAGCAUUCUUCAAUCGCGACACAGUAAGCAUUUAGAUUGAAAUUAGGGUUUCUUCUGAUUGCAAUUUUUAUGCUCUCAAGCUUCCAUCAGAUGGUGCAGUUUAUCACCAGGACGUCUUCCUUCUCCCGCGAGUUCAAGGAAACCAUCAUCUUCAUCAUCGCAGGACAAUGCCAGGCCACUCAGUAAAGUUAGAGAAACUUCAUUGGCUCUAGGUUAGGCUAAAUGUCAGAUUUUGAGACGCAUUUAUUCAGUUCAUAUGUUUUACUUCAUAUUUCUAUGACAUUGUGCACUACUGUUUUAAUUCAUUAGUGUAAUUUAGGAUUUAGGGGCAUUUGCAGAUGAAUCAGCACUCGCCAAUAUAGGCUCCACUGUAAAUCCUCUUUCAUACAUUAAAUGAUUUUUUUUAUGUACAUAUAAAUCAACUAAAGAUGAGGCAACAUUCACCAUCAGUGGUGUUGGAACAUAGCGUGCAUGGACGGCCUUGAGAAGAGGAUCAGACGAAUCACCAGUGAUGUUUGUGUGUCUAAUCGCUAAUUGAAUCUGGAGUUGCGCAUAUGUUUUUAAUCAAAAGAAAAGUUGAAGAGAUAAUGAAUGAUUCUAACUAUGGAAUCAUCGAGAAGAAAGAUACACUCCUAUCAGCCUUAUCCGAACCCAAUUCCGACACGAUUCCGAUCCAACAGUUAUACCUAAUUUGGAGAUGCAGGUAGAUAAAAUGGCGGAAGGGCGUCAAAAUGGUGAAAAUUCAAACCCUCCACCUUCCUCGAAGUGGACAAGAGCAUCGCAGAUCCAUAAUAUGUUUGAGAAGGCAUGAAGAUAUGGAUACCAGUGAAAAUGAAAAGCUCACUGCAAAGCUCGAGCCACUUGAGGUAUAUAAUAACUGAUUUCUAAAAAAGUGAAGAUAGUUCAUAAAAACUUGUGUUCAAAUUGGAAAUGUUUUCUUGUCAAGGCAUGGUAUAGUAAUGUUCAUAACCAUGAAAAAAGUGAAGAUAGUUUGAUUCAGAAUUUUAAAAAUAACACAUCUCUGGAGUCCAUGUUCCAUACAACGUGGCAAUUUUGACCCAUUUAGUUAUGAACGGGUCAAUGCCAUCCUGUAUUACCUCAUAGAGGGAAAGUAAUUAAGAAAAGAACUAGCCAAAAAGGAAAUGGGUCAAAAGUUGCCUAAAGUGUAUGUUUCAUGCAUAAAACCUUCUAAAUCAUCUUAGAAUUCAAAGAAUUAAAUAAGUACUUGUAUGUUUCAUGCAUAAAUCCCCUUUUCAAAUGGUAGAUAUUGUAGUGGUGUGGAUCUCGGAGCUGUUGCUACAUCUAAAAAAGUUGCAGGUACAUUUUCACAACUUCUUCACCUUCAGGAAAUGUAAAAAAAUAGCUCCUAGAUAUCGACCCAGAUUCACGCUCAACUGUUUUGGUAAUCAUUGGCAUCCUAUGGUAAAGUCAAUGUGAAGGUUGGGAACAACAAUCACAUGUUUUGCUGGGCAUGUGUCGGACGCUAUUAUUGUUUGUGUAGAAAGGUGUUUAAGCGCUACUCACGACAUUUUGGUCCAAAGGGUUGCAAACAAAAUACGGUUGGAUAGUUACAUUUCUUUAAUGAGUUGCAUUUCAUUUGUAGUGUUCUUGGGUUGCAUAAAUCAGCGGAAGGGCGAUACAUGGUGCCCACUUAGAGCAGUGACUGUUGUAUAACAAGCAACAACAGUAGGUGAUCUGGAUUGUACAAAGGAGCAGGUGGUUGAGGGACGGUGUAACUGAUAGCGAAUGAUGGAGGUGAAUAGAAGACGUAUGAUGCGAAGGUUUGGGUGACGUCAUGGAUGACUUUAAGGAAUUGCAGGGUUUCGGGGUUAUUCAUGCAUACUUUCACCUGGUAAUUUUUGUUUAAUGUUUUAAAAAAAUUAAAUAAGUUGAGGUGAACCUGUUCAAGUUUGUCAACAUUGUGAUGCCCAGUUUUGGAUGAGGACGUGUUUUUAGAUCUUCCACACAGUAAAGGCCAGUCUAUAAUCAGUGUUGCAAAGUUUCGCGAGUUGGACAACACCUUUCAAAUGAGCAUUAUAUCAUAAGCUUCGGUUCGAAAUAGUCAACUUCAUUGACAACAUCCGGGUAUGUAACUCAGUGUUCUUGAUGACCUUAUGACCGUACGUUUUUAGAGUUAAAGACCAAAUUUGUCACUGGCUAGGUUCUUUAUGUUUUCAUGCACAUGAAAAAUCCUAAUUCUUGCAAGUCAGUGUUCUUAAUCGCUAAUCGUUUUUUUUAUUAGAUGUGUAUGCGAUUUGUUCUUAAUUGAACGUUUCAUCGAUCUGGAUGUUGCAAUGUGUAAAAACGGACGUGAGUUGUGGUGCUACUUUGACUACUAAGGAGAAAUCAGCUGAGAAGAUUUAAUCAGUUUCAGCAUCGACGUGAUUUGACUAAUGUUAAGAAAUGCCCAUUAGAUGACGAUGAUCCAUUUUAUGUUUUUGGGUAUGUUUAGAAUUUAGUUAACAACAAUGACAUGAACUAUUGAGGAUUUUAUGAUUCUGUUGGUUGUUACAUAUAUUAUCAUAGUAAAUUGAGAACAAUUUUCCAAGAAGAAUGUUUGUGACAUUUAGAUAGA